CGCGGCCUAUCAGCCUGUUGGUGAGGUAAUGGCUCACCAAGGCGUCGACGGGUAGCCGGCCUGAGAGGGCGACCGGCCACUCUGGGACUGAGACACGGCCCAGACUCCUACGGGAGGCAGCUGUGGGGAAUAUUGCACAAUGGGCGAAAGCCUGAUGCAGCGACGCCGCGUGAGGGAUGACGGCCUUCGGGUUGUAAACCUCUUUCAGCAGGGAAGAAGCGAAAGUGACGGUACCUGCAGAAGAAGCACCGGCUAACUACGUGCCAGCAGCCGCGGUAAUACGUAGGGUGCGAGCGUUGUCCGGAAUUACUGGGCGUAAAGAGCUCGUAGGCGGUUUGUCGCGUCGUCUGUGAAAUCCUACAGCUUAACUGUGGGCGUGCAGGCGAUACGGGCAGACUUGAGUACUACAGGGGAGACUGGAAUUCCUGGUGUAGCGGUGAAAUGCGCAGAUAUCAGGAGGAACACCGGUGGCGAAGGCGGGUCUCUGGGUAGUAACUGACGCUGAGGAGCGAAAGCAUGGGUAGCGAACAGGAUUAGAUACCCUGGUAGUCCAUGCCGUAAACGGUGGGCGCUAGGUGUGGGUUUCCUUCCACGGGAUCCGUGCCGCAGCUAACGCAUUAAGCGCCCCGCCUGGGGAGUACGGA
rnacentral:rRNA from 1 species